rnacentral:rRNA from 1 species
ACAUCCAGAGAAUUUAGCAGAGAUGCUUUAGUGCCUUCGGGAACUCUGAGACAGGUGCUGCAUGGCUGUCGUCAGCUCGCGUUGUGAAAUGUUGGGUUAAGUCCCGNAACGAGCGCAACCCUUAUCCUUUGUUGCCAGCACGUAAUGGUGGGAACUCAAAGGAGACUGCCGGUGAUAAACCGGAGGAAGGUGGGGAUGACGUCAAGUCAUCAUGGCCCUUACGAGUAGGGCUACACACGUGCUACAAUGGCGCAUACAAAGAGAAGCGACCUCGCGAGAGCAAGCGGACCUCAUAAAGUGCGUCGUAGUCCGGAUUGGAGUCUGCAACUCGACUCCAUGAAGUCGGAAUCGCUAGUAAUCGUAAAUCAGAAUGUUACGGUGAAUACGUUCCCGGGCCUUGUACACACCGCCCGUCACACCAUGGGAGUGGGUUGCAAAAGAAGUAGAUAGCUUAACCUUCGGGAGGGCGUUUACCACUUUGUGAUUCAUGACUGGGGUGAAGUCGUAACAAGGUAAGCGUAGUGCU